rnacentral:piRNA from 1 species
UUCCCAAUCAAUCCUUUUGGUUAUUUUGGU